rnacentral:lncRNA from 1 species
AUGGAGUGAUUAUUUCAUGGGUGACUCCUUCUGCGCCCUGUUCUAACACAGUUCGCUAUUGGUCUGAGAAUGGAAAAUUGAAGAAGCUAACAGAAGCAACCAUAAACACCUACCGUUUCUUCAAUUAUACAUCUGGUUACAUCCACCACUGCCUCAUUGAUGAUUUGGAAGUAAGUCUUUAACAACUUGUUUGUUGUAUUUAGUUACAGGUUUUUAUUUGUUUUUAUUUAAAUGGCUCGGUGUGCAUAUAUAAUACCUGCGAGAGGUAGUAGAUAGAAUAAACAUUCAGAGAAUAAUCAAAUAAAUAUAGUUAGGUCGUUGGUUAAUAUAACUGCAUCUUAUGUAUCUUAUGUUUGAUUUUUUAUAUUUAUAGAAUCUAUUUUGUAUUUGAUUCUAUAUGAGUGUUGCAGUUUGAUAUGAAAUACUACUAUGAACUUGGGAGUUGGAAGUGGCGAAGGCGAUUCUGGUUCUUUACUCCGCCGAAACCUGGUCCUGACGUACCUUACACCUUUGGCUUAAUUGGUAUCAACUUGUGUCUUUAGUAGAUUCAUAUUUUCUGUUGUGACCUUAGAUAUUUAAUUUAUUUCUAAUACAAUAUCCAGGGGAUCUAGGACAAACAUAUGAUUCAAAUCGAACUUUAAGCCAUUAUGAGAUGAAUCCGGGAAAAGGACAGGCGGUUUUGUUCCUAGGAGACUUGUCUUAUGCGGAUCUUUACAAAUUCCACGACAACAACAGAUGGGAUACUUGGGGAAGAUUUGUUGAGAGAAGUGCUGCUUAUCAACCUUGGAUAUGGACUGCUGGAAACCACGAAAUCGAUUUUGUUCCUGACAUUGUAAGACUUUGAGUGAAUACCCUUGUUGGUUUCUUGAUAUGGAACUUGACUUUUUUCUUCUUCUUUAUUUUUUUGCUUUUGCAGGGUGAAACAGAACCAUUCAAGCCUUUUACGAAUCGGUAUCAUACGCCGUACAAGGCAUCGGGAAGUAUCUCUCCAUUGUGGUAUUCCAUCAAGAGGGCUUCAGCUUAUAUUAUUGUUAUGUCUUGUUACUCAUCUUACGGUAAUAAUGACUAGAGAGAAGAAAUACUAUUUUUUUUUACUUUUUAAUUUUAAAAACAUAAUAUAAUUUGACAAUAUUUUAUUUCCUUUUUUAAAAGAUAUCGAAUAUAAAAUAAAAAAAUCCUAUUGGUUAGGUUCACCCAGGGUGAACCUAAGAAUAAUUCAAAAAUAAACUAUAUUAUUGGUUGGCUUUUCUUUAGAGACUUUUUUAAUCUGGUGGAUUAAUUAGGGGUGUACACUCCUCAGUACAAAUGGUUACGAAAGGAGUUCCAAAGAGUAAACCGAACAGAGACUCCAUGGCUUAUAGUCUUAGUACAUUGCCCCUUUUACCAUAGCUAUGAGCGUCAUUACAUGGAAGGUGAAACAAUGAGGGUCAUGUACGAGCCGUGGUUCGUCAAGUCCAAAGUCGAUGUCGUGUUUGCAGGCCAUGUUCAUGCCUAUGAGAGAUCGGUAAAAAAAUUAAAUUUAGUCCUCCCCAGUAGUAUUAAUCUACCCUUGUAUCUCCACUGCCCCCAAGUGAUCAUUAAGUACACUAACGCAGGAACGUGUUUCUAACAUUGCCUACAACAUUGUCAAUGGAUUGUGUGAGCCAAUAUCGGAUGAGUCGGCUCCUGUGUACAUAACCAUCGGGGACGGAGGAAACGCAGAAGGCUUGCUUACUGAGUAAUUUUUUACCAUAUUAGCUAGCUGUACAAAGACUUUCUAUGUUUCUGAUGAAUGACUUGGUUCUUCUUAUCGUAGGAUGAUGGAGCCACAGCCAAGCUACUCUGCCUUCCGAGAAGCUAGCUUUGGGCACGGGUUGCUGGAUAUCAAAAACAGGACUCAUGCCUACUUCAGCUGGAAUCGGAACGAAGAUGGGUCUUCCGAGGAAGCGGAUUCUGUGUGGUUGCUUAAUCGGUAUUGGGGAGCUCCAAAGAAUAUUUCGCUGGGUUUUGGUUGCCACCCGAACACAAAUUGAUCUAUGCUAAACGAUGGAACCAAAUGUGAGAGUUAUCAAGUUCUAUAACGUUUUCGUUUCGCAUGGUUGUCCUUUUAUAAACAAAUCACUAAGAAAGUAAGAAGAUGAUAUCUGCAAGAUAGUAAGUGCUAUAAUAAAAGAAAAGAUAGUAAAAGUGUAAUAAAAAGUCAUGAUAAAUAAAACUCGUUUGAAAUUUCAUAAUGAAGUUUCAUAAAACUUUAUUUAAUAGAAACUAUAAUUAUAAACUCGUCUUUGCAAAAAAUGAAAUCUAAGCUCGUCUUUACAAAAAACUUAAUGGAACUUCUUUCGAGACGAUAGAUUUUGAAGUUUCAUAAAACUUUAUUUAAUAGAAAUUAUAAUGAUAUCAAUAAUUUAUGUAUUUUCAAUUUUAUAUAAUUCUGAUCAUGAGCAAAAGCGGAUAGGCUGUGAUUCUAGGAAGAAAGUUCACGAUGGGGUAUUGUAUUAGUCAAUCGUGUGUGCAUUUGUGGUAAAUCGAGACGAUCGUGAAAAAAACCCAAAGAAUCAGGUAUAUUGGUCGAUGGUCAUGAGUUUGAGUGCGAUCGCUAGUCACGAUCAUCGAGAUGGAUAAACCUCAAGGCCAAGAUAGUAAUUCAGAUCAAGUCUGGUGCGAGAAACAAUUGGAUUGUAUAUGCUAGGCGAGUCAUGGUUCAUGAGUGGAUUCACGAUGAGCAUGACUCAAGAUGUUGGUAAGCAUAGGGCUGAGAAGACAAGAGGGGCGGACCCAAAAAUUUGUUUAAAUAUGCGGCAUAAAUGUUAUAAACAUAAAAUAAAAAGAUAUUUUUUAAUAUUAAGCAUGUAGACGUUAUGUAAACCAAGUUAAAUAAAGGUAUUUAAACAAAUUUUAUACUGAAUUUUUAACAAAUAAAAAGAGAGUGUGGAGUACAUACCACACCUUACUUUUACAUGGGUCCGCCCCUGAAAACAAGCAGAAACAGAGUGGCUGUGAGGCUGAGUUAUUGGACUGGAGUGUAUGAGUAUUCAUGGCCGGUGGACUGGCGCGUCACUGCACAGUGUGAGGCAAAAGGCUGUGGGCUAAGUAUGAUAUUCUGGUUGACCUUGACAUGGUUAGUAAUUGACGAAGAAACUUCUAGUGUCCUGACCAUACUGAUGGUUGGAUGGAAGACUGAGCCGUUUUUCUUUGUUGCUUGGUCAUGUGGGGAUACUUGGUUAAGUGAAUAAGUAACAAGGAUAUGUGGUAAAGUAUUGUUCAAGUAGGACAAGAAAGUAUGGUGGCAACAAGAACGGGUCAAAAGGAUGAACGAGUAGACAAAUCAAGGUCGAAACAUUUUUAAGCAAAGAUAUAUGUUUAUAAAGAGUUAUUUUUGGGUUCAUCCCCUUAAGGUGAACUUCUAGGUUCACCGUCCAAUAGGAUUUCAUUAUUUUAAAUUCGAUAUCUUUUAAAAAAGGAAACAAAUUAUUGUCAAGUUAUAUUAUAUUUUUAAAAUAAAAAAGUAAAAAAAAUAGUAGUUACAGAAAAAAGAAAUUAAAAAAAAAUAUUUUUAACGUCGUCAGCAAAACACUAAACCCUAAAUCCUAAUCCCUAAACCCUAAAUCAUAAAUCCUAAAUCCUUGGGUAAACCCUAAACCCUUGGAUAAAUUUUAAACUCUAAAUAAAAACAAUAAAUCCUAAAACUCUAAACCAAAAACCUUUGAGUGUUUUAGUGUUUAGUGAUUUUAAUUUAGAGUUUAAGAUUUAUUCUAGAUUUUAGGGUUUACCCAAGGGUUUAGGGAUUAGAAUUUAGGAUUUAGGGAUUAGAAUUUAGAGUUUAAUGUUUUGCUGACGACAUUAAAAAUAUUUUUUUGUAAUUAUAACGAUUUUUUAUUUUAUUUUUUUUUACCUUUUAAUUUUAAAAAUAUAAUAUAAUUUGAUAAUAUUUUGUUUUUUUUAAAGAUAUCGAAUAUAAAAUAACACAAUCCUAUUGGUUGGUAAACCUAGAAGUUCACCAUAGAGAGUGAAUCUAAGAAUAAGACAUUUAUAAAUAGCUGCAAUCCCCUAUAUAUUAUUUGAGAAGCAUUGCAACAUUUUUUUGUAGCCAUGUGUCAUCACUAGAAGGAUUCUUAGAAUCCUUAAAGAAAUAGGUUGGUCCAUCUAAAUAUAUAAUAAGCUUUUUAUUAAACCACAAUAAAUACAUUAUUAAUAUGCUUCAUUAUUUCCUUAAAUAAGAUUAAGGAAUUGCCUAAUGUGGCUAAAGUAUAUAUGACAAUUAAUGAUUUUGAAUAAUAAAGAUUUGAUAAAAAUAAGUGUGUAUUAUAAUUAUAUUUGUUUAAUUUUAAGCUAUUAAAAUAAAUUAAAUUUAAUUAUAUAUCAUAUCAAAUAGAAAAAAUAUUUUUUCGAUAUAUAAAAUUUAUUUAUAUGUUCGUACCAAUUUAAUUGUAUAAGUAGUAGAUAAUGACUUUUUAAUUAUUCAAUAUAUAUUUAUUAUUUCAUAAUAUGUUAUAAACAUAUAAUAUAUAAAAUAAUUUAUAUAUAUGUUCAAUCCGCGCAAGGCGCGGACCUUAACCUAGUAACUUAGUAAUCUGCUAGGUUACUGGAUUAUAUUAAGGAAACAAUGAACUGAACCUCGUUAAGGAAUUAUGGUGGAAAAUAAAUCUAAAAAGGACUUCAGUUGGGUCGUGAAAAACAAUUCACGAUCUUAUGUGCAGUAAAGAAACCGGGUUGGGCCACAGGUAAAUUAUCUUGUGAAGUUGUGAUUCUUAUUUUAUUAUUUAUAAAUCUUAUAAUUCUGAUUCUUCCGAAUGAUUCCCUAUCUAUAUAGGUUUCGAAUGGUGACCAUCGUCCCGCUCUGCCCUGCAAUUAACAGUAACAAAAAUUUCUAUAUAUAUUAUAUAUUUAUACAUUUUUAUAACUGUUAAAACCGCAUCGCAGUUAAAUCACUUGUCCCGUACCGCUCAAACUGCAGUCACUAUUCGGAGCCAUAAUAUAAAUUCCCACCAAACACUUAAUGAUUGCAACUAACACACCUAACUAGCCUAGGCUCAAUUACACCACAAUUUCGUCCAGCAAUAAGGAGUCGACUAACAAUGCAAAUAAAAUUCACAAUUUGCAAAGCACAAAUUUCAAAUGGAGAUCGUGUGAAAAGCUCCAACAAAAGUGGCAGAAACAUUUAUUAACAAUGUGUUUGAAUAAUUGAACUUGGGAAUGAACUCAAUUAUGUGACUUUUUUUUGACAAAAACAUAAAAAACCGUGGGAACGAAAGCUUCUUCUUCUUUUUCUUACCAGGCUUGCUCGGUGGGAACGGACUGGUUUCAGAGUUAUCUUCUGUUCCAUAUGAUUCAGUUGGGCUGUAGACCUCAGGUGAUUGGGCCAACUUACUUAAGAUAAAUCUUCAAUGAAAGAAAAAUAAAAAUAAAUUUCCUAGUAACCACGUAUAACGUUAACAAAAAUAAAUCUAUGAGUAAUGAUAUUUUUGUAAUUAUUAUUUUUGAUAACAAAGAAUUCAAGAAUAUAAUAGGUAUAAAAUUUAAACUAGUAAUUAAAAUAAAAUAAAAGUCAUUAUAGUAAUAAACUAAUGAAUUAGGGUUAAACUAGCUUUUUCCCUAAUUAUUAUUAUUAUUAUUUUUCGAAAACAAAAUACAUAGAGCACUUGUAAAGGUUCUGCUCUUUCCGAUCAAUCCAAAUAAUAAUCGAAAGCGAUAUUUCAAGUUUUCAACAUUAAUAAACGUGCCACGUCCGUUUAUAUUUUUAGACAAGUUUUUGGAAAAGGCAACUAAAUAUAAAUAAAAUAAAACUUGAUAAAAAAGGAGUCGAAUAUCCCCUGUGGAUCCUCUGCUGGAUAAUUAUAAAAUCAAUGUCUGUCACUUCUAGACAAGUCAUUUAAUUUUCCAGACCGGUAAGUCCAAAGCACGUUCUUGGUCUCGGAUUCAGAAAAGAAAAGAGAGAGAGAAGAUGAGUUCAAGAUCUGACCUCACAAUCAUGCGUGUCUGCUUCAUAAUCUUCUUGCUUGGAGUUCUUGUUGAGCUAUGUGAUGGAGGGAUUACCAGUGAAUAUGUCAGAGGAAGUGAUUUACCAGACGACAUGCCAUUAGACAGCGAUGUCUUUAAAGUUCCUCCCGGUCGUAACACUCCCCAACAGGUUCACAUAACGCAAGGUAACCAUGAAGGCAAUGGAGUGAUUAUUUCAUGGGUGACUCCUUCUGCGCCCUGUUCUAACACAGUUCGCUAUUGGUCUGAGAAUGGAAAAUCGAAGAAGCUAGCAGAAGCAACCAUGAACACCUACCGUUUCUUCAAUUAUACAUCUGGUUACAUCCACCACUGCCUCAUUGAUGAUUUGGAAGUAAGUCUUUCCAACAAUUUAUUUGUUGUAUUUAGUUGCAGGUUUUUAUUUAAGUGCCUCGGUGUUAAUACCAGCGAGAAGUAGUGAUAGAGAGAAUAAACAUUCAAAGAAUAACUGAAUAAAUUUAGUUAUUGGUUAAUAUAAUUGCAUCUUCUUUUUAUUUUGAGUGAUAUAAUAUAAUUGCAUCUUAUGUUUAAUUUUCUCUAUUUAUUAAGUCUGAAAAAAAUCAUUUUAUUGCAGUUUGAUAUGAAAUACUACUAUGAAAUUGGGAGUGGUAAAUGGCGAAGGCGAUUCUGGUUCUUUACUCCGCCUAAACCUGGUCCUGACGUACCUUACACCUUUGGCUUAAUAGGUAUCAACUUCUGUCUUUAGUAGAUUCAUAUUUUCUGUUGUGACCGUAGAUAUUUAAUUUAUUUCUAAUACAAUAUCCAGGGGAUCUAGGACAAACAUAUGAUUCAAAUCGAACGUUAAGUCAUUAUGAGAUGAAUCCGGGAAAAGGACAGGCGGUUUUGUUCCUAGGAGACUUGUCUUAUGCGGAUCUUUACCCUUUGCAUGACAACAACAGAUGGGAUACUUGGGGAAGAUUCGUUGAGAGAAGUGUUGCUUAUCAACCUUGGAUAUGGACUGCAGGAAACCACGAAAUCGACUAUGUUCCUGAAAUUGUAAGACUUUGAAUGAAUACCCUUGUUGGUUUCUCGAAAUGGAACUUGACAUUUUUUUGCUUUUGCAGGGUGAAACAGAACCAUUCAAGCCUUUUACGAAUCGGUAUCAUACGCCGUAUAAGGCAUCGGGAAGUAUCUCUCCAUUGUGGUAUUCCAUCAAGAGGGCUUCAGCUUAUAUUAUUGUUAUGUCUUGUUACUCAUCUUACGGUAAUAAUGACUAGAGAGAAGAAAAAUAAACUAUAUUAUUGGUUGGCUUUUCUUUAAAGACUUUUUUAAUCUGAUGGAUUAAUUAGGGGUGUACACUCCUCAGUACAAAUGGCUACGAAAGGAGUUCCAAAGAGUAAACCGAACAGAGACUCCAUGGCUUAUAGUCUUAGUACAUUGCCCCUUUUACCAUAGCUAUGAGCGUCAUUACAUGGAAGGUGAAACAAUGAGGGUCAUGUACGAGCCGUGGUUCGUCAAGUCCAAAGUCGAUGUCGUGUUUGCAGGCCAUGUUCAUGCCUAUGAGAGAUCGGUAAAAAAAUUAAAUUUAGUCCUCCCCAGUAGUAUUAAUCUACCCUUGUAUCUCCACUGCCCCCAAGUGAUCAUUAAGUACACUAACGCAGGAACGUGUUUCUAACAUUGCCUACAACAUUGUCAAUGGAUUGUGUGAGCCAAUAUCGGAUGAGUCGGCUCCGGUGUACAUAACCAUCGGGGACGGAGGAAACGCAGAAGGCUUGCUUACUGAGUAAUUUUUUACCAUAUUAGCUAGCUGUACAAAGACUUUCUAUGUUUCUGAUGAAUGACUUGGUUCUUCUUAUCGUAGGAUGAUGGAGCCACAGCCAAGCUACUCUGCCUUCCGAGAAGCUAGCUUUGGGCACGGGUUGCUGGAUAUCAAAAACAGGACUCAUGCCUACUUCAGCUGGAAUCGGAACGAAGAUGGGUCUUCCGAGGAAGCGGAUUCUGUGUGGUUGCUUAAUCGGUAUUGGGGAGCUCCAAAGAAUAUUUCGCUGGGUUUUGGUUGCCACCCGAACACAAAUUGAUCUAUGCUAAACGAUGGAACCAAAUGUGAGAGUUAUCAAGUUCUAUAACGUUUUCGUUUCGCAUGGUUGUCCUUUUAUAAACAAAUCACUAAGAAAGUAAGAAGAUGAUAUCUGCAAGAUAGUAAGUGCUAUAAUAAAAGAAAAGAUAGUAAAAGUGUAAUAAAAAGCCAAGCAAUGAUGAUAAAUAAAACUCGUUUGAAAUUUCAUAAUGAAGUUUCAUAAAACUUUAUUUAAUAGAACUUAUAAUUAUAAACUCGUCUUUGCAAAAAUGAAAUCUAAGCUCGUCUUUACAAAAAACUUAAUGGAACUUAUUUCGAGACGAUAGAUUUUGAAGUUUCAUAAAACUUUUAUUUAAUAGAAAUUAUAAUGGUAUCAAUAAUUUAUGUAUUUUCAAUUUUAUAUAAUUCUGAUCAUGAGCAAAAGCGGAUAGGCUGUGAUUCUAGGAAGAAAGUUCACGAUGGGGUAUUGUAUUAGUCAAUCGUGUGUGCAUUUGUGGUAAAUCGAGACGAUCGUGAAAAAAACCCAAAGAAUCAGGUAUAUUGGUCGAUGGUCAUGAGUUUGAGUGCGAUCGCUAGUCACGAUCAUCGAGAUGGAUAAACCUCAAGGCCAAGAUAGUAAUUCAGAUCAAGUCUGGUGCGAGAAACAAUUGGAUUGUAUAUGCUAGGCGAGUCAUGGUUCAUGAGUGGAUUCACGAUGAGCAUGACUCAAGAUGUUGGUAAGCAUAGGGCUGAGAAGACAAGCAGGGGCGGACCCAGAAAUUUGUUUAAAUGUUAUAAACAUAAAAUACAAAGAUAUUUUUUAAUAUUAAGCACGUAGACAUUAUGUAAAACAAGUUAAAUAAAGGUAUUUAAACAAAUUUUAUACUAAAUUUUUAACAAAUAAAAAGAGAGAGUGGAGUACAUACCACACCUUACUUUUACAUGGGUUCGCCCAUGAAAACAAGUCGAAACAGAGUGACUGUGAGGCUGAGUUAUUGGACUGGAGUGUUUGAGUAUUCAUGGCCGGUGGACUGGCGCGUCACUGCACAGUGUGAGGCAAAGGCUGUGGGCUAAGUAUGAUAUUCUGGUUGACCUUGAGAUGGUUAGUAAUUGACGAAGAAACUUCUAGUGUCCUGACCAUAAUGAUGGUUGGAUGGAAGACUGAGCCGUUUUGUUUGUUGCUUGGUCAUGUGGGGAUACUUGGUUAAGUGAAUAAGUAACAAGGAUAUGUAGUAAAGUAUUGUUCAAGUAGGACAAGAAAAUAUGGUGGCAACAAGAACGGGUCAAAAGGAUGAACGAGUAGACAAAUCAAGGUCGAAACAUUUUUAAGCAAAGAUAUAUGUUUAUAAAUAGCUGCAAUCCCUUAUAUAUUAAAGGAGAAGCAUUAUAAUAAAUGUAUUCACACUAUAAUAGACACGUGGCAGCCUCAUAAUGAUUUGAUAAUAAAUAUGCUAACGCGUUCACACUAUAUUUAUAAAUGUGUUCAUACUAUAUACUUUGUAUUUUUUAAUAUAAAAUUCAUAUGCAUGGUUCCAAUAAAACUUUAGAUUUUUUCGGUUCGAAUCAAAACAAAUAACGAAUCAAAAGCUAAACUAUAUAUAUAUAUAUUAUUUUUAUUGUUUACUGAUAAAGUUGGACAAAAUAUUUAUAAUUUUUGAUUCAAUUCAUUAUCCGUUUUGAAUUGAACCAAAAAAUAUGGAUAUCUGUAACACUCUACAAAACAAAUCAGUUACUAAAAUACAAUUAAAAAACAAACAAAUCACAAAUACCAAUAUUUUUAGGAGCAAUUAUCAAAUUUGAUCUAUUAUAUGAAUAUAUAUACAUAUAUGUACAGAAUUAUAUAUAUAUGUUAUAUAUAUUAUAGUUUAUAUAAGUUUUACAAUAUUUUUAUGAAUUAAAUUUAUUAUAUUAGGUAUUAAAAUUUUAAAAGUAAAUAAUAUUUUAUUUUUGUAAUAAACGUUAUUAUUAAAUUUUCAGUUAUUUUUUAAAUUUUAUUUACGGAUCAAAUCGGAUAUUCUUUAAAAUUCUAAAUCAUUUCGGAUAUCAUAGUCACCGAUUAUCCAAGUGGCUAAAGAUUUAAUCGACAUGAAUGCCUCCAAAUACUCGGAUAUUCGAUCUGUGCCCACCUCUAUUUACGGAUAUAGUUGAUUUUUUUAUAUGAAAAAAAUUCACUAAUGUCAAGGCCUUUUUAAUUUUUAAUUAAUUUUAAUUUUAUCUGUUAUGUAUUAUUUAAAACAAAAAUAUCAUUAAUAUUAAUUAACAAUAUCUUUAUAUAUUUGUCAUUUAUUUUUAUAUACUUUUACAUACACAUAUAUGUGCACCUUGAUGUGAGCACUUUAUAAAUAUUUACCACUACUGUAGUAUCUAUUUUUUUUUUAGAAUUUGAAAUAUUUUUUUUCUUAAUGCUUCUUUCAGUACCGACCAAAUUGUAGUGAAAUGAUUAGUCUUAAUAAUUUUUUUUUCUUUUUCUUGAACUAUUAUCCGUUUACAAACUAUAAUAUGAAACCAUUGAUUCGACAUGACAAUUAUCUAAAAUUUAUAACAUAAAAAUAAACAAAUAAUAAUACUUAUUUAUUUUUACCGAAAAAACUAAAAAAUCAAACAUUCUAACAGAAUAAACCAAAAAAUAAUUUAAAACUGAACCAAUAUCUAGAUUAAACAGAUUUAAUGUGUUUUUAUUAAAAAUAACAAAACUAAUAAUCACAUCCCGCGCAAGGCGCGGAUUAUUACCUAGUAACUUAGUAAUCUGCUAGGUUACUGGAUUAUAUUAAGGAAACAAUGAACUGAACCUCGUUAAAGAAUUAUGGUGGAAAAUAAAUCUAAAAAGGACUUUAGUUGGGUCGUGAAAAACAAUUUACGAUCUUACGUGCAGUAAAGAAACCGGGUUGGGCCACAAGUAAAUUAUCUUGUGAAGUUGUGAUUCUUAUUUUAUUAUUUAUAAAUCUUAUAAUUAUGAUUCUUCCGAAUGAUUCCCUAUCUAUAUAAUAUAAAUUCCCACCAAACACUUACUGAUUGCACACCUAACUAGCCUAGUCUCAAUUACACCACAAUAAGGAGUCGACUAACAAUGCAAAUAAAAUUCACAAUUUGCAAAACACAAAUUUCAAAUGGAGAUCGUGUGAAAAGCUCCAACAAAAGUGGCAGAAACAUUAUUAACAAUGUGUUUGAAUAAUUGAACUUGGCAAUGAACUCAAUUAUGUUACUUAUUUUUUGAAAAACAUAAAAAACCGUGGGAACGAAAGCUUCUUCUUCUUCUUACCAGGCUUGCUCGGUGGGAACGGACUGGUUUCAGAGUUAUCUUCUGUUCCAUAUGAUUCACUUGGGCUGUAGACCUCAGGUGAUCGGGUCAACUUACUUAAGAUAAAUCUUCAGUGAAAGAAAAAUAAAAAUAAGUUUGUAGCCACUAGACAAAAUAAAUCUGUGAGUAAUGAUAUUUUCGUAAUUAUUAUUUUUGAUAACAAUGAAUUCAAGAAUAUAAUAGGUAUAAAAUUUAAGCUAGUAAUUAAACUAAAAUAAAAGUCAUUAUUAUAGUAAUAAACUAAUGAAUUAGGGUUAAACUAGCUUUUUCCCUAAUAAUUAUUAUUUUUUAUUUUCAAAAACAAAAUACAUAGAGCACUUGUAAAAGGUUCUGCUCUUUCCGAUCAAUCCAAAUAAUAAUCGAAGGCGAUAUUUCAAGUUUUCAACAUUAAUAAACGUGCCACAUCCGUUUAUAUUUUUAGACAAGUUUUCGGAAAAGGCAACUAAAUAUAAAUAAAAUAAAACUUGAUAAAAAAGGAGCCGAAUAUCCCCUGUGGAUCCUCUGCUGGAUAAUUAUAAAAUCAAUGUCUGUCACUUCUAGACAAGUCAUUUAAUUUUCCAGACCGGUAAAUCCAAAGCACGUUCUUGGUCUCGGAUUCAGAAAAGAAAAGAGAGAGAGAAGAUGAGUUCAAGAUCUGACCUCACAAUCAUGCGUGUCUGCUUCAUAAUCUUCUUGCUUGGAGUUCUUGUUGAGCUAUGUGAUGGAGGGAUUACCAGUGAAUAUGUCAGAGGAAGUGAUUUACCAGACGACAUGCCAUUAGACAGCGAUGUCUUUAAAGUUCCCCCCGGUCCUAACACUCCCCAACAGGUUCACAUAACGCAAGGUAACCAUGAAGGCAAUGGAGUGAUUAUUUCAUGGGUGACUCCUUCUGCGCCCUGUUCUAACACAGUUCGCUAUUGGUCUGAGAAUGGAAAAUCGAAGAAGCAAGCAGAAGCAACCAUGAACACCUACCGUUUCUUCAAUUAUACAUCUGGUUACAUCCACCACUGCCUCAUUGAUGAUUUGGAAGUAAGUCUUUCCAACAACUUAUUUGUUGUAUUUAGUUACAGGUUUUUAUUUUAGUGGCUCGGUGUUAAUACCAGCGAGAAGUAGUGAUAGAGAG